GGCAGACGGGUGAGUAAUGUAUAGGAAUCUACCUAGUAGUACGGAAUAAUUGUUGGAAACGACAACUAAUACCGUAUACGCCCUACGGGGGAAAAAUUUAUUGCUAUUAGAUGAGCCUAUAUUAGAUUAGCUAGUUGGUGGGGUAAUAGCCUACCAAGGUAAUGAUCUAUAGCUGAUCUGAGAGGAUGAUCAGCCACACUGGAACUGAGAUACGGUCCAGACUCCUACGGGAGGCAGCAGUGGGGAAUAUUGGACAAUGGGCGAAAGCCUGAUCCAGCCAUGCCGCAUGAGUGAAGAAGGCCUUUGGGUUGUAAAGCUCUUUUAGUGAGGAAGAUAAUGACGGUACUCACAGAAGAAGUCCUGGCUAACUCCGUGCCAGCAGCCGCGGUAAUACGGAGAGGGCUAGCGUUAUUCGGAAUUAUUGGGCGUAAAGGGCGCGUAGGCUGGUUAAUAAGUUAAAAGUGAAAUCCCGAGGCUUAACCUUGGAAUUGCUUUUAAAACUAUUAAUCUAGAGAUUGAAAGAGGAUAGAGGAAUUCCUGAUGUAGAGGUAAAAUUCGUAAAUAUUAGGAGGAACACCAGUGGCGAAGGCGUCUAUCUGGUUCAAAUCUGACGCUGAAGCGCGAAGGCGUGGGGAGCAAACAGGAUUAGAUACCCUGGUAGUCCACGCUGUAAACGAUGAAUGUUAAAUAUGGGGAGUUUACUUUCUGUAUUACAGCUAACGCGUUAAACAUUCCGCCUGGGGACUACGGUCGCAAGAUUAAAACUCAAAGGAAUUGACGGGGACCCGCACAAGCGGUGGAGCAUGUGGUUUAAUUCGAUGCAACGCG
rnacentral:rRNA from 1 species